GUUAUUCAUCUUUAACAGGUUUAAAGGGUACCUAGACGGCAAAUCAAGCCCCAAAAGGGUACUAAUUUACUAGAGUUUAAUAAGAGAGGGGGAGUACUAAUGAGUGUAGAGAUGAAAUGCUAUGAUACCAUUAGGGACAGACAAAGGCGAAGGCGACCUUUUACAAAAAACUGACGUUGAGGGACGAAGGCUUUAUUCAUUAACAGGAUUAGAUACCCGAGUAGUUAAAGCAGACAAUGAUGAAUGUCAUAGAUUAAUAAUCUUAAUCUAUAAAUGAAAGUGUAAGCAUUCCACCUCAUGAGUAAUGUGGCAACGCAGAAACUGAAAUCAUUAGACCGUUUCUGAAACCAGUAGUGAAGUAUGUUGUUUAAUUAGAUGAUCCGCAAAAGACCUCACCACAAUUUGUAUAUUAUAUUAUUAUAUAAUACAAGCGUUGCACGGCUGUCUUCAGUUAAUGUCGUGAGAUUAGGUUAGUUCCAUUAAAUUAACGUAAACCCUUUCUUUAUUUAUAUUAUAAAGUAGAUCGCCGAUAUAUUGGAUAUGAUAAAAGGGACUAAGACAAGUCAUCAUGGCCCUGAAUAUUG
rnacentral:rRNA from 1 species